CCCAAUUCCGGGGUUUUUCGCAAAUGUUCUGGGGGCGUUGACAGAGCCCACGGCGAGGCCGUUCGCUCGACGCCGGCGGACCUCCGCUAGCCAACCGCGAAGCAUCCCGCGCCCUCCAGCGCCAAAUCCACACGCACAGGCUUGGGCAAAGCAAGGAAAGAUUCAGAGAUGGAGCAACAGAGAGGGAUGGGCUGAUGGGGAGGACAAGCAUGCAUUCGCCGGCGGGGUAGCAACCAGACCAACUGCGCACGGCGGCGGCUCGGAUCCUCCACUCCGAGGCGAGGAGCUCAAUCCGAAGACGUUGGUUGCCCUGCCGGCUUGGUGGCCUCGCCGGCAAGCAUCGAUUUGUUGGCUCGCCACUGCAGGCAGUCGGUUCCCAAAGUCAACCUUCAGUUCUUCAUUUUCAGGCUUCAGGUGCGCCGCUCCCACACUCGACCAAGAUUGGCUCGCGGGCAGCCGUCACACUAUUGUCGGGCCGCCUUCGCGAGCGCCCACUACAACAUGAUGUCGUCACGAUGGCCGACUGCCCCAGACAAGUGCCGACCUUCAUCUUUGAUCUUGGAUUCAUUAAAUCAGCGAUGUGAUACCUAGUGAAUCGGAAUGCCGUGACCAGUCGGGGUCCAGAAAUAGCAAUUGAGUUUGCUCUCGCUUUGGUGGAGCGUCUAUAUGGCAAAGAGAAGAUGGAGGAGGUUGAUGGGCCUUUGGUAAGCUGUAAGUCAUAAAACUCAUCUGUUUCUGUUUGUUGUGUUAUUCCAUCACGCAACAAAUGAUAUUUUUUAGUAGUAGUUCGAUGCAAUUCAAUUACUUUUAAACCAUUUGACUUUAAACACACAGGCACGUAUAUAUCCACUGUAAAUAUAAAAAGCUCCAGAAAAUGCCUUAUAUACGUCUUGGUCAAAGUACUCGUAAAAUAUUUCUAUUUCUGUGGAUGCAAACAUCGGUUGCUCUUCAAGAUCUGCAUUUCCAAACUGUUAGCAAGGGGUUUUGUACUCAUGGGCUCUAGUCUCGUCUGGCCGCAUGGGCCUGUACACCAUGCGCCGGCCCUGGUGGUAUUAGGAUAGGUGUGCGUCUGAUUAGGCAAGGAUCUCCUGGUUGUUGGGUGUUUCUAUAAACCCUAGGUCGUCCUUGCC